rnacentral:rRNA from 1 species
AUGGAGUAUCAGUCGAUCGUCUCUGCGCUGGACGUCCGCAUCGAGCCAAUCACCAUCGACAUCCUCUUCUCCAUGGUGGCGAACUUCGACCAACGGGUCAAGAUGUUCCAUGGCAACGGCGGCGGCACCUUCAAGUUGUCGGCAAACAUUGCUUCUCGCGGCCGAGGCAACAAGGGCAACUACCGCAACAAGAAGGGCAACGGUGGUGGCUCCCGUGGCGGCGGUGGCUAUGGUGGCGAUGGCCACUACAGUGGCACCAGCCACGGCAAUGGAGGCGGCGGCUAUAACGGUGGUGGAAACUACCACCAGAAUAACAACCAAGGCGGCGGUAGGGGCUAUCAUGGUGGUGGCGGCGGCUACUGCUACAUCUUGAGCUUGCAUUGGUUUUCCUCGAAGAGGAGAGGGUGA